GACGAACGCUGGCGGCGUGCCUAAUACAUGCAAGUUGAGCGCUGAAGGUUGGUACUUGUACCAACUGGAUGAGCAGCGAACGGGUGAGUAACGCGUGGGGAAUCUGCCUUUGAGCGGGGGACAACAUUUGGAAACGAAUGCUAAUACCGCAUAAAAACUUUAAACACAAGUUUUAAGUUUGAAAGAUGCAAUUGCAUCACUCAAAGAUGAUCCCGCGUUGUAUUAGCUAGUUGGUGAGGUAAAGGCUCACCAAGGCGAUGAUACAUAGCCGACCUGAGAGGGUGAUCGGCCACAUUGGGACUGAGACACGGCCCAAACUCCUACGGGAGGCAGCAGUAGGGAAUCUUCGGCAAUGGACGAAAGUCUGACCGAGCAACGCCGCGUGAGUGAAGAAGGUUUUCGGAUCGUAAAACUCUGUUGGUAGAGAAGAGCGUUGGUGAGAGUGGAAAGCUCAUCAAGUGACGGUAACUACCCAGAAAGGGACGGCUAACUACG
rnacentral:rRNA from 1 species